CGGUGGGCCACGACUCCCCAACGGGUCGCCGCUCUUCUGGAAGGAAGGGAGUA
rfam:Rhodospirillales bacterium RIFCSPLOWO2_12_FTLL_58_28 rifcsplowo2_12_scaffold_2984, whole genome shotgun sequence.